GGAGAGCUGUCCGAGAGGCCGAAGGAGCACGAUUGGAAAUCGUGUAUACGUCAUAAGCGUAUCGAGGGUUCGAAUCCCUCGCUCUCCGCCA
rnacentral:tRNA from 1 species